AAAGUCCUCAAGCCAUGAGUCAAGUUGAAGCACUCUGUAGAAUGUGUGUAGGGGUUAGAUGAGAGGCUGGGAACAUGCCUGUCUUUUGCUUCCAGAAUACCUGUACCACCCUCUCCCCCCACCCUCUGGAGUUGAAGCUUCAUUUUAUCAACGGGAUUGGCUGAGGAACUGCCCCAGAGAUUAGUAAGAACACUCUGUCUGGGUGGCCAUAGAGGUGUGAACUUGGGGACUAUAUCUGGUUCCUAGCUCCUUCUCUUUAGGCCAUUCCCUUGCUCUGCUUCCCAGCCACCAUGAACCAAGCAGCUUUGUUUCACCAGCUGAUCUGCCAUGAUGUUUCUCAUUUGGAGCCAGCCAACCAUGGACUGAAAUCUGACACCAUGAGCCAAAAAAGCCUCUCCUCCUCUGAGUCAUUGGAUCCUGGGUAUUACAUCCCAGUGAUGGUAAAGCUGACAGAUACAUCCUCUACCCACACCCCACCUGAGCCAAGCAUGCAGAGGACCCUGGGUGGAUCCUGCUUCUUUAAUACCAAGUUUGAGCCUCUGGAAACCAAGUGCCAACCACGUUGCUGCCCCAGCUGCACUGCUGCAGCAGAACUGUGAGUAAAAGCAGCACCCAGACAGUUGCAGGAGGAAGCACCUGCAUGGAGACUGCCCCCCCACGCCUGGGCUGUUAAGGCUUGAACCCCAUGUGAGUGUCUUCCCACUUCUCAGUUCCUUCUCCCUCCUGCAGGGUAACUACUC
rnacentral:lncRNA from 1 species